rnacentral:lncRNA from 1 species
UUUUGUAGUGCUAAGGUAUGAAUUUUUGUACAUAGAUAGCUUCUGCUGCUGGAGGAAGUGGUGAUGAUGGGGCAAUCGUCGUUCCUCUUGCGGCAAGGGGAAAACCAUAGUUGGCCCUCAAGAUAAGCCGAAGAAAAUAAGCACGUUGGAGAAAGUAAUGCUUCGUUAUUUGUAGAAAUGUCAUGAAGAUGCUAUUGCGGUGGGUCAAGAACCUCCUUUUGGUGGUCGUUAUGCUCCACCGUUAGUCUCAGGUGUUUCACGUUCACUUAGUACUACCGUUUCAGGAGGCACAAAUAAACCACAUGAUGAGGCUGGGUCAGUGGAACCUUCGUCUUCAC